rnacentral:rRNA from 1 species
AGAGUUUGAUUAUGGCUCAGAAUCAACGCUGGCGGCGUGCCUAACACAUGCAAGUCGAACGAGAAAGGGACUUCGGUCCUGAGUAUAGUGGCGUACGGGUGAGUAACACGUGAAUGAUCUACCUCCGAGUGGGGAAUAACUGAGAGAAAUCUUGGCUAAUACCGCAUAACACUUACGAGUCAAAGCAGUAAUGCGCUUGGAGAGGAGUUCGCGGCAGAUUAGUUAGUUGGCGGGGUAAUGGCCCACCAAGACGAUGAUCUGUAUCCGGCCUGAGAGGGCGCACGGACACACUGGAACUGAAACACGGUCCAGACUCCUACGGGAGGCAGCAGUGGGGAAUUUUGCGCAAUGGGGGAAACCCUGACGCAGCAACGCCGCGUGGAGGAUGAAGUAUCUUGGUACGUAAACUCCUUUCGAUGGGGAAGAUAAUGACGGUACCCAUAGAAGAAGCCCCGGCUAACUUCGUGCCAGCAGCCGCGGUAAUACGAGGGGGGCAAGCGUUGUUCGGAUUUAUUGGGCGUAAAGGGUGCGUAGGCGGUUUGGCAAGUCUUAUGUGAAAUCUAUGGGCUCAACCCAUAGUCUGCAUGAGAAACUACCGAGCUUGAGUAUGGGAGAGGUGAGUGGAAUUUCCGGUGUAGCGGUGAAAUGCGUAGAUAUCGGAAGGAACACCUGUGGCGAAAGCGGCUCACUGGACCAUAACUGACGCUGAUGCACGAAAGCUAGGGGAGCAAACAGGAUUAGAUACCCUGGUAGUCCUAGCCCUAAACGAUGAUCGCUUGAUGUGGCAGUACCCAAUCCUGCCGUGUCGAAGCUAACGCGA